AUGAGGAAAGAACAGAGGAACAGAAUGAGGAAAGAACAGAGGAACAGAAUGAGGAAACAACACAGGAAAAAACAGAGGAACAGAAUAAUGAAAGAACAGAGGAUGGAAAUGAUGACCAGAAAUGUGCUACAUCUAGAAUAAAUCCAAAAAAGGACAAAAAGAAACAACAUAAACACAGCAAAAGUGACUACAGACAAUGCAAGGCAGGCCCCCGUAAUUUUAAAAUAAAGAUAACAAGAAAAAAAUGGAAAAAAAUCAAACCCAAACAUCGCCACAGUCAAUUACGUCACCCUUGGACUGAGAUAUUAUAUGAUCAAUACAACAAAAUAAAUCCAUGUUGUACACUUUCCUUUAAAUAUCAACACGUGAAACUCAGCAGCAGCCGUAAAAAAAAGUGUCCAUUUUUUAUUGCUCGUGCCAAAUGCACCUUUAAUGGAUGCAAUGCAAUUUAUACUUUUAGAAAGAAGAACAUCCCUAAACCAUUUGACAGCGAAAUCUCUUUUAUUGUGAAACGGCUUGGUUCGGUGACACACCGUAAAAAAGAAUGGAGAUUCAGACCAGCAAAAUACUUAAAAAGAGGUAAGAUAGCCAAAGCUGUAGCAGAUGGUGUGAGUAAAUACUACUAUUCAAAGUUGAGGCAGACACCAAUCCAAGAAAUCACAGCGGGGAACAUUACGAAAAGCCUCACUAAAGAUGUUUUAAGAAAAAUUUCAUCAGAAUUAAAGAAGAGUACAAGACUCCAUGAUGACAUAAUACUUGAGCUCAUGUUAACACAAAAACUGAUUAAAGAAACAAGCAUUAAUUCAAACUCCAAGGGAUAUUUCCAACAACUUCACAUUGACCCUUUUGCAGUGCAUUUACAAACAGACACCGGAUUACAGAUAUUGGCCCACCAUCUAAGAAAUUCAUCACCUGUUACCCUCCAUCUUGAUGCCACAGGGAGUGUUGUACAAAAAAUACCUGGUCAGGAAAAAAAAAUUCUGUAUUACGCUAUGGUUUUGCCAGGGAUGGGCAAGGACAAACCUCCUUUGCCCAUAACUGAGCUACUGACCAACAGCCAUACUGUUCCUUCCAUUUCACACUGGUUGAUGGAAUUUAACAGAAAACUGACCCACACUACCAAAAUCAAAAUAGCACAGAUAGAAACCGACUACAGCUGGGCUCUCAUUAAUAGUGUGCUACUAGCCUUUAACAAGGAGGAUAUUUCAAAGUACCUAGACAGAGCGUUUGAGAUUGUGCAUGAACAUAAAGCUGAAAUGAAAAAGUUCACAGUAUUGCACCUGUGCUCUGCCCAUAUUAUGAAGGCUGUUACACAAGCUUUUGGGACAAAGACCCGUGAUCGAGGCUUAAAAGAGUAUGCAAGCUAUUGUUUCGCAUCCCUUUUAAACUGCAAUAACCUCCAAAUUGCCAUGGAGGUGUUUUACAACAUGUGUGUACUAUUUGAUGCAAAACAUUACAACCCCUUAGUACAAACAAGUCAAGCAUACCUCAACAGCUGUAUCUCCAAAAACAAGUCAGAGAAAGAUGAAGAUGGCCAUCAUACAGCAGAAGCACAGCACAGCAAAAGUGACAAAAGCAACAGCAUUAUUGCUAACUCACCAUUUACAAAGACUUUCCAAGUUUUACGGGACCAAGCUCAGGUUGACAUUCUGUCCGAGGAAUCAGAGAUCACAGAAAAUCAUUACUGCUGUCCUGGUAUAGUUGAUGUGCUUGUGAAGAACUACAUGGGAAUCAUCCCACUGUGGAGCGGAAUGUUACUUGGCAACUUAACACGGUACAAAACACCCACAUCUGCUGCAACAAAUAAAACAAGCAAAUCAAGAGAAACAAACUGCCAUGUGGAGUUGUGGUUUGGCUUGGUAAAAAAGAACAUCUUGGCCAAAAAAAAGUACCUCAGACCAGCAGACUUCAUCACAAAAUUGUAUACAUCUUUACAAGGUCAGUAUGUUGAACAUGUUAUGCAGCAUGGUCUGCCAGACAAACUUCUGGACCAAACUGUCAGAGUUUUGAAUAAACCGGCAGAUGAUCCCAAAGAAAAAUGGAACAAGAGGGAAAGUUCUGCUGGUCAGACAAAGACCAAAUCCAAGUAUUUCAAUCCCCCGAAGAUAUUACCCAAUCCCAGAACUUCCAAAGGCCCAAAAAACAAAUCACCAAAGCUGAAGAUGAUAACAAUAAUAAAGAAUCACAGGUAAGGUUUCACCUACCUUUGAGGCUCUGUUGCAGUUCCACAUAAAGAAUUAGUUUGUUAAAACAAUGAAUUUAUCUGAUAAAAUUUUUUUGUAAUCUUCAUUUCUUAAAUUUCAUUAGAAGUAAACAAGUAAUAAUAGCUUGCAUUUCACAAUUUCAUAAUGUGGUUAACAUGGGAUAACAUAACUGACAUAUAUGUAUUACAGUCUGGUGUAGAUUUUGUCUUUAUUAUGGCCGGCUGUUAGCAUAAAGUAUUAUUUAAAUUUUGUAAAAUAUACAUUUUUGUUGUAUUACUUUCAAAUGUUUUGAUUUGUUUUUUUUUUUAUAUCUGAUUUGCAGUUAACCUUGCUUUGGAAAAAGAGUGGUACAGAAGUUGUAGUAGCAGUUGUUCCGUCACAAAUUAAAGGUCGGAGCAUUGUGAUUCAUCAUUCUGACUUGUGCAGUCUUCGACCACAUCAAUGGUUGACAGGGGAGAUCAUUGAAAGCCUUCUGCAUGUGGCUGCCCAUGCAUUGGGAGUCAUGGACACCUUCUACAUCCUGAAUCACUACUCAGCUGGUGUGAUUUUGUUCGGGGACAGAACUGAGCUUCCUAGACAAAGUUUACCAAAGGUAAACUUUGACAACUAUGAAGCAGUUCUGUCAUUUGUCCUUGUGAACAACAAUCACUGGAAGUUGCUGUACAUCAAUGCAGAAGCCAGAACUGUAUUCCUAAUAGAUCCUGCACAAGUAUCAUCUGAGCUUGUGGACUCCCAAAAGGCAGCUAAAAGAAUACAAGAAUACUUCAAAAUGAGAAGGACAUGUCAUGGAAAAACAGACUGGGUUGGGAUCCAAUGGAAAGGGGGGACAAUGCGCCACCCUAUUCAACAAGACGGAAGCAGCUGUGGAGUUAUUGUAGUCAAAAUGGCAAAAGCACUGAUGGAAGCCUUCCCUCUGAUGCCAGAUGUAGAUUUUGACACAACAAAAAAGGCAAUGAAAAGUGAAAGAAGAACUCUCGCUCUUCAAAUCCUUGAUGCAUCAGUAUUUGAUGACCACUGUUGGUGUGCGAUGUGCGCUGCAUACAAAGCCCCGGGGUCUGGCCCUGGAAUGACAGACUGGAUCCAGUGUGACAACUGUGACCGAUGGUACCAUGCCCUGUGCAUAAAUAUGAAGAGCACAGAAUUUCAAAAGAAAAAAACAGGCAGUUGGAAAUGUGUAUUGUGUAGUUAAUCUGAAAACUAGAAACUGUGUUCAUUAUUGUUCGAAAUACGUUUUGAAAAUAUCUGUGGAAAAUGAAAAUGUAAUAUGUUUGUGUGGCAUUGAUGCUAUGUGUGAUGUAUAAAGUGUACUGGAAUCAUUUCAAAUUGAUAAGUAAUUUUAUGACGUUAUCUGAAAGCUAUUGAGCAACAAUCUUAAACUUUAAGGAAAAGAUUCCUAAAAAUUAUAAAAUUAAAACAUAAA